rnacentral:rRNA from 1 species
ACGGUCCUAAGGUAGCGAAAUUCCUUGUCGGUUAAAUACCGACCUGCAUGAAUGGCGUAACGAGAUGGGAGCUGUCUCAACCAGAGAUUCAGUGAAAUUGUAGUGGAGGUGAAAAUUCCUCCUACCCGCGGCAAGACGGAGAGACCCCGUGGACCUUUACUACAACUUAGCACUGCUAAUGGGAAUAUCAUGCGA